rnacentral:precursor_RNA from 15 species
UAGACCAUCUUCACCAUAUCCCAUGCCAUAACAUACUUCUUUAGAAUUCCAUACUGAAUCUCCUCAACUCUAUGGAAUGUAAAGAAGUAUGUAUUGAAACUGGGACCUCACAUCACAGAACCAA